CUAGGCUCCGUUACAGUUAGGCCUAGAUUAGCAUCUCUGCACGUUCUUUUGGCGCCUUCACCUGAGCAUAGGAGGCUACGUUAUCCAUUUGAAUUGACGGAGUACAGGCAAUUUGAAAUUUUACCGCAUACCUGCUGCCACUGCCAGACAAAAAAGAAACGUCGACACUUGUGGUUAAACGCAAUAAAACAAGCGGACUGGACAGAAACGAUCAUCAAAAAUGCUCGCGUAUGCGGUGCACACUUCAUAUCAGGCACUUCAUGUUCCAACCACUGAACGAACAAACCUAAUAUGGCUGCAGGUUUGCAACAGCACUAACACGGAUCUGCACGCCUGCCAGUUGGUCCCUGCAAGCCAUUAACCGUAAUCAAUACUUAACACUGAUAAAAAUGAUGACUUUUGCAUGAUUAUUUUAUCUUUCUAUCUUUUUGUAAGUAUUGCCUGAUAAAGUCUGUUGUGGAUGGAAAUAUUUGUAACUGUAUGAAUGAGGGAUAAAGUCAGUAAGUCUGUUCAUUCAAUAAAACAGUCACAAAUCUU